rnacentral:rRNA from 1 species
AACGAACGCUGGCGGCAGGCCUAACACAUGCAAGUCGAGCGAAGCCUUCGGGCUUAGCGGCGGACGGGUGAGUAACGCGUGGGAACGUGCCCUUUGGUACGGAAUAGCCCCGGGAAACUGGGAGUAAUACCGUAUGUGGUCGAGAGACGAAAGAUUUAUCGCCAAAGGAUCGGCCCGCGUUGGAUUAGGUAGAUGGUGGGGUAAUGGCCUAACAAGACGACGAUCCAUAGCUGGUGUGAGAGGAUGAUCAGCCACACUGGGACUGAGACACGGCCCAGACUCCUACGGGAGGCAGGAGUGGGGAAUCUUAGACAAUGGGGGAAACCCUGAUCUAGCCAUGCCGCGUGAUCGAUGAAGGCCUUAGGGUUGUAAAGAUCUUUCAGUGGGGAAGAUAAUGACUGUACCCACAGAAGAAGCCCCGGCUAACUCCGUGCCAGCCGCCGCGGUAACAC